rnacentral:tRNA from 1 species
UAGCUCAAUUGGUAGAGUGUUUGCCUUGCAUUCACAAGGCCCUGGGUUCAAUCCCCAG